UAAAAUUAUUUUUAUAUUAUUUUUUAUUUUUUUAAAAAAAAAGUUUUAUUUAAACUUAAAAUUUUGAUUUAUCAUUAUUUAAUAUGUUAAUAUUAUAUUAAAAAUUAAAUUUGCAGUUUUUAUUUUUAAAAAAUUAUUAAAGUAAGUUUUAGUAAUUGAUAAUAGGUUUAAUUAAAUUUGUGCCAGCAAUUGCGGUUAUACAAAUAAUUCAAUUUAAAUUUAUUGGUUAAUAAUUAAUUUUUUUUAAAAAAAUAUUAUUAUUAUAAUUUUUAAGUGAAAUUUAAAUUUUAAUAUAUUUUUUUUAUUUUAUUUUGAAGUUAUUAAAGUUAGAAUUAAACUAGGAUUAGAUACCCUAUUAUUAUAACUGUAAAUUUUAAUACCAGAUUAGUAUUAGUUAUUUUCUUUAAAAUUAAAAAAUUUGGCGGUAUUUUAGUCUAUUCAGAGGAACCUGUCCUGUAAUUGAUAAUCCACGAUUAGUUUUACUUUUAUUUUUCUUGUAUAUCGUUGUUUUUGAAUAUUUUUUAAGAAUUUAAAUUUUCAAUAAGUAUAUAUUAAUUUAUUUCAGAUCAAGGUGCAGUUUAUAUAAAAGAAGAGAUGGGUUACAUUAAAUUUAUUUAUAGUUUAUUUUUUUAAACAUUAAUAUUAAAUUGGAUUUGAUAGUAAUAUUUUAUAUAUUUUAAAUAUGAUUAUAGCUCUAAAAUGUGUACAUAUUGCCCGUCGCUCUCAUUUAUUUGAGAUAAGUCGUAACAAAGUAGAUUUACUGGAAAGUGUAUCUAGGAUUAAA
rnacentral:ncRNA from 1 species